rnacentral:rRNA from 1 species
GUUCCAGACUCCUACGGGAGGCAGCAGUGGGGAAUAUUGCACAAUGGGGGAAACCCUGAUGCAGCGACGCCGCGUGAGUGAAGAAGUCUUUCGGUAUGUAAAGCUCUAUCAGCAGGGAAGAAAAUGACGGUACCUGACUAAGAAGCCCCGGCUAACUACGUGCCAGCAGCCGCGGUAAUACGUAGGGGGCAAGCGUUAUCCGGAUUUACUGGGUGUAAAGGGAGCGUAGACGGCAUGGCAAGUCAGAUGUGAAAGCCCGGUGCUCAACCCCGGGACUGCAUUUGAAACUGUCAGGCUGGAGUGCAGGAGAGGUAAGUGGAAUUCCUAGUGUAGCGGUGAAAUGCGUAGAUAUUAGGAGGAACACCAGUGGCGAAGGCGGCGUACUGGACUGUAACUGACGUUGAGGCUCGAAAGCGUGGGGAGCAAACAGGAUUAGAUACCCCGGUAUGA